rnacentral:lncRNA from 1 species
UACAUGAAUAUACAUGAGUCUUGCUUUAGACUAUAAUUUUCUGUUUGGAGCAGUGUAGCAUAUGUAUUCUUUGCUUAGAUCAAGUUUUGGUGAACAUCACACACACACAGCAUCUCUAUAGCAUAUAUGAAAUUAUCUGAGUGUAUGAUGUUAUGUCUAUAGUUUGGUUUGAAAUUAUAUUCUUGGAUCUCGAUGAUUCACUGAGGUAAUUUGGGC